UACAGAGGGGGCAAGCGUUGUUCGGAAUUACUGGGCGUAAAGGGCUCGUAGGUGGUUUGUCGCGUUGUUCGUGAAAACUCACAGCUCAACUGUGGGCGUGCGGGCGAUACGGGCAGACUUGAGUACUGCAGGGGAGACUGGAAUUCCUGGUGUAGCGGUGGAAUGCGCAGAUAUCAGGAGGAACACCGGUGGCGAAGGCGGGUCUCUGGGCAGUAACUGACGCUGAGGAGCGAAAGCGUGGGGAGCGAACAGG
rnacentral:rRNA from 1 species